CGCGCGUGGGGAGAGUUUCACUGAUAUGGAUGUUGACUUGUUAAAAUCCAUCAAUGAAAGGCUUGUCAAACUUGAUAUAUUGGAUAUGUUACGAGAGGACAUCAAUGCAUUAUGUGCCAGUCUAGAAUUCAGCCAACGUCAGAUCGAUGAUCUAAGGAAACAGAAGACGGAGCUGAAAGGUACUGUAGACUCUAUUCAUAGCAAGGUGGAGGUGGUACAAAGGGAUGAAAGGUAAUGUAGUCUCUAUUCAUAGCAAGGUGGAGGUGGUACAAAGGGAUGAAAGGUACUGUAGUCUCUAUUCAUAGCAAGGUGGAGGUGGUACAAAGGGAUGAAAGUUACUGUAGUCUCUAUUCAUAGCAAGGUGGAGGUGGUGCAAAGGGAUGAAAGGUAAUGUAGUCUCUAUUCAUAGCAAGGUGGAGGUGGUGCAAAGGGAUGAAAGGUGCUGUAGACUCUAUUCAUAGCAAGGUGGAGGUGGUGCAAAGGGAUGAAAGGUAAUGUAGUCUCUAUUCAUAGCAAGGUGGAGGUGGUGCAAAGGGAUGAAAGGUACUGUAGUCUCUAUUUAUAGCAAGGUGGAGGUGGUACAAAGGAAGAACAAACAAGUUAAAGAAACCUUGCUUGAUGUACAGUGUCGAUCAAUGCGUGACAAUCUAAUCUUUUCAGGGAUACCAGAGAAUGACAACAGCAGAAGCUGUGAGGACAGUGUUCAAGCUUUUAUGUCAACUUUACUGUGAGGGAAAAAAGUAUUUGAUCCCCUGCUGAUUUUGAACGUUUGCCCACUGACAAAGAAAUUAUCAGUCUAUAAUUUUAAUGGUAGGUUUAUUUGAACAGUGAGAGACAGAAUAACAACAACAAAAAAUCC
rnacentral:lncRNA from 1 species